GGCUGGUCUGAGUGCAGUCAGUGGUGUUUACAACUAAUUGAUCACAAGCAGUUACAGGUCUCUUUGUUCCUUCUCCACUCCCACUGCUUCACUUCACUAGCCUAAA
rnacentral:Y_RNA from 10 species